AUGUUGGUACAAUGUCUGAGGUUUUUGUUAACUCCCUGGUAUGUUAAGUUUUUUAAAAGUGAGUACAAUGCAGACUAUGUGCACCAAUUUAUUUUGAGGAAAAGGAUAUGUUCAAUGCUGCAACAAAGGUUGUGGUGGGAAAUGUCGAACACUCCUACUUUUGGUGCGAUAAGUGGCUCGAUGGCGUUUCUCUGGACAUCGCACCAUAUAUCAUCGGCCUGGACACCCCCUCUACUAGCGCGCAGAACGAUGGCUGAGGUGUUGCUUGAUUCUGCUUGGUUAAAAGACAUAUGGGGCCCCUUAACAUCGGCGCUUAUCUUCAAUUACUCGAGCUCUAGGAAAGACUUUGCUCUUCACCCAGAGCAUGAUGAUAGCCGGUCAUGGUCGUGGGAGGCUAGUGGUAGUUUCUAG
rnacentral:rRNA from 1 species